rnacentral:rRNA from 1 species
UACGAAGGGGGCUAGCGUUGCUCGGAAUCACUGGGCGUAAAGCGCACGUAGGCGGAUCCUUAAGUCAGGGGUGAAAUCCCAAGGCUCAACCUUGGAACUGCCUUUGAUACUGGGGAUCUCGAGUCCGGAAGAGGUUGGUGGAACUGCGAGUGUAGAGGUGAAAAUUCGUAGAUAUUCGCAAGAACACCAGUGGCGAAGGCGGCCAACUGGUCCGGUACUGACGCUGAGGUGCGAAAGCGUGGGGGAGCAAACA